rnacentral:lncRNA from 1 species
GGCGGGCGGCGGCGUUGGCAGGACUGGGCAGGCCUGUGUUGUGUGCGGGGCCUGGAUCCUUUUUUGGGUGGCGUUCCCGAUAUGAGUGCGUAUCCGGACAGUGGGGCGCCUCUCAAACUCGGGCCCCGGCGGCGUCCAGGGGUGCGGAGGAAUGCGUUACUGUCCCCGCUUAUGACUCCUGCCGUGGGGCCACAGCAGUUGGGGCCACGGCUUAUCCAUCAUUGCAAAGAUCUCUCCGAGAGAAAUGAAACAAGUCAGCUCUGCCCAGAGGGGGAGAAAGCUGAACGGCGCAUGGGGCCGCCCGUCCCAGGACCUUCUUGGCUUGGCUCCCGUGGAAGGGCGUGGGCUCCUUCGUCUGAAAACUGCCAAGGGAAUGCAGCCACACGGCUUAAGAGAAAUGGCGCAUCCCUGUGGUUUGGUGUCCAAGUGGACCAUUCAGGACGCUCAACUCAGAGUCCUUCCCAAACUUUGUCCAGCUCCAAGACCAACAGGGGGCUUCCACCGCAGAGGUCCAGACACCUGCACAGAUGUGUCCCUGCUGGGGGGAGGGGGUGGUGGUGAAGGUGGAAACACCAUUUCUAAGCAGCUCCUUAGAAGUGAACAAAUUCUGGUACCUCCGCAUUGUCUCGGGAACCUGCCUCUUUCCUGCCGUCUGUGCUCCCAUCCUCCCAGUGGGGGGGCUGUGGAUUCUCCAACAGGCCCAGGUAGAAUUCUGAGGUCAUCGGAGUCCCUCCUUCAAGCCUCAGUUCUAUCAGUAUCAAACUUCUGGGGAGACUUCAGGGGAAGCAGCAAGUUUGAGCCAAGAACGCAGAAUUGGAAUUCUCUGAUAAAUCCCUCCCAGCUGAGCCGGGAGGGUCUGUAGUUGGCUCAGCAAGCAGGGACGGCAGGAAGGGGCUGGUGCUGGGAAACUUCAAACAGACCUGGGGUGGCGGGGAGGCUGUGCUGAGGGGAGGAGGCCACCGACAGAGGGCUCAGUUAAUUAAAGAGAUGCGUGGGCACACCUAUAGGCUCAGCCCUCUAGGUGUUAAAGCGCCAGCAACUCAAGUUCUGUGCAGGGACUCCCUCCCCCUAGGGGGAGGCCUGGAAGCGGGGGAAGCCUCGAGCCACAUUUAGGAUGGACAUUUGCGGUCUUCUGGAAAGCCCCAGCCAGGGGUCCUUGGCCCUUCCACCAAGAGUUCCAAGGGAACCGAGACUGUUUAAAAGCCUCCUUAAGCAUCAAGGGGUCUCCUGUGUUGCAGGCACUGGGCUGGGCACAUCACCUGGGAGAGGUAGGGGUCAUCAUAUCUCCCAUUUUACAGAUGAGGGAAGUAAGGCUCAGAAGUCACCAGCUCAAGUGCCUAUGGCUGGUGUGUGGGAGAGGCCCGGCUGGAGCUAGGAUUCUCUGACUUAUGCCACUGGCUGGAGCUGGGGACAGGACAGAGACCAGCAAAGGACAGGUGACGGCUGCUUCCAUCUGGCCCUCACCUUGGCCUGCCCCUCACACUGUCCUUGACAUUCAAUCAGGUGCCAGUGAUGUCGGCCCAGAGGUUGGGGCUGGGCCUCCCCAGCUUCCCAGCGACAAAUGGUUCUCAUUUGAAAGGGAGGUUAUAAAAACACAUGCCCAGAGACACUGUCAGGGAACUGAGGAUUAAUCUCAUUUCAGUCAAAGACCAUUUCAAAUAUUUUGGGGGUGGAAUGGGGCGGGCAGCAGCCUGGGUUGGGAAGGAA